CAUGGCGCUGGUGGUGAUCAAGCUCUUUUGCCAGUGGCCUAACAAUUUCUGCUAGUAGUUCCCCUUAUUCAUAGUUGAGUGCAAGUAAGUUGUCUAUAUGCUGACCAACUAACUAACUCUCCCACUCUUGACAUGACUACUCGGAAGUGAUAGAUGGUGGCACAGGUAGGCCGUAAUAACCGGCUAUGGGUCAUGUUCGCUGCUCCGACCCACAUAGCACAUGAAAUGGCGAAGACUGAGAGAAAGAUGCUAGCCGGUGAUUUAUUUUGGCACACAAUACUACUAACUUAGCAAUUGCAUCUGCAUCAGUGUCCCCGCAUCAGCGUCUGUACCCGCUUCUGUAGGCUCUUCUCAAACUGUUCCACGCCAUUCUCCUGGAUACGCAGCUUCCCUCGCCUCAAUAUAUAUACACUGCGCCGUCUCGAUUCGUCGUCGUCACCUGGCUCCGUAGUCAUUUCUACAUUUCCAUCUUGGCCCGCUACGGCUCGUUUGUUUUCAACAACGCCCCGUACCAAAUACCGGUCAUGAGAAACGAGCAGGAUAGCGCCGCUGAAAGAUGAGAGGUCUUCAAUCAGCGCUAUUACAGUGUGGAAAUCAAGAUGCGUCGUGAUCUCGUCCAGGACUAAUAGAGAAUAGAAACGGAAUGGAGUGAGAUGAAACGGAACAGGAAACACAAACCAGUUGGCCCCCUGAUAACUGUGUGAUUGGGACAUCCGAUGCGGUUCUUCCUAUCAGGCCUAAUGAACUCAACAAUCCACGAGCUUCGCCCUCCCCAAGGCUCCCAUUAGCGUCACGACAAAUUAAUGAAAGAGCAGUCAGCACCGGCUCAGACCGCCCAAGUGCGUUGAGUUCAUCCACAGAAUGCUGAGAAUAGUAGCCAAUAGCUACUCUAGGAUGGCGGGACACGGUUCCCAGUGUCGGUUGCAUGGACCCCAUUAGGACCUUUAGCAAAGUCGUUUUCCCACUCCCAUUGAGGCCCAUGAUUCCAACUCGGUCUCCCAUGUGGAUUACCAGGUCGAUGCCGUUGAGAAUCGGAUCCCUUUUGGGCUUAUACCAGAAGUGGACAGAUUCCAAAGAGACCAGCGGUCCCGGAAAUCUCAGUUCCUGUGGAUCGGGAAUACUAAUCGACACCCCCUUUUCAUCCUGCGGGACCUCUAUCUCAUCUCUCAUGGAGUCGUGAUACCCCACGCGAUCACGGUUCAGUUUAAAUCUUGUACCCUUGGCGCUAACCUGCACGCCCAUCCUCCCAUUCACUUUCUUCUGGCGAGAUUUCGCCAUGCGAAGCUUGUUGUCAUCGCCAGUCUUCUUGCCCAGCUUGAUAUUGUCUCGAAUGGUCGCCUCCAUGUGCGCGACCUGGCGAUCCUGAGCUGCUUUCAUACGCCCCCAGUAAACCCUCUGCGCUCCUAAAUCCUCUUCGUACGCUGAAAUAUUGCCCUUGAAGUAUGCAAGUGUCUGGUCCUUCAGGAUAAUAGUUUCCUCGCACACGUUGUUGAGAAAGUCUCUAUCAUGGGACACAAGUAUGACGGUUCUAUCGUCAUCCACCCCACGCAAAUGAGAAAAAUAAUUCUCCAACCAGAUUAUUCCCAGAAGGUCGAGGAAAUUGGUCGGUUCAUCGAGAAUCAUAAUAUCUGCUUUCUGGACCAGGCUUCCAGCAAGCAUGCAACGCAUGCGCCAACCACCCGAGAGCGAUUCGAAUGGUUGCUCUAAAGACGAUUCUUUAAACCCUAGGCCUAGAAGCACUCGUCGUGCCUCGGCCUCGAUGUCUGUGAUUUUCAUCUGCAGAUGAUGGUUAAUAUAUCAAGUGUCCAGGGCGUUGUUUUUCUCCCCCUUUUAGGGUCAACAUACUGCUUCAUAUUGGCAUUGCAAUUCAUUCAAGAGAUCUAGAGCUGCCUGCGUCUCCUCCUUAAUCUCUGAAGGCUCACCUGCAUCCCGAUUCUUCUCCACCCUAGCUCCUUUCCAGUCAAUCCGUGCCUUCGUUUAUUUAUAAUUCACGAAAGGCUCCUAGGAGCCAUUAUCACUUACAGAUCUGCAGAUUCCGCAACCUUUUGCUCAACCACUUUCAGAUCCUUUCUCGCCUGCAUUCCUCGACUACCACUUCUCAAGCUCGCAUUCUUCUGUGCCAGAAACAGUUCCCGUUCCAGUUCCUCAUGACGAAGCUGUCGGAUCGCUCGUACCGGUUCCAAGGAGUCCCCCGUCUCUUCUAAAGCAUGCGAAAGCACUUUUAUUUCCAAAGAAAAACGGGGCACGUUAAGUACACGUUAGUAUGUAGUCGUCGUCCGAGAAAGAUGGGAUAAUUCACCCUCAUCUGAACGGUCGCAGAGAUUUUCACAUUAGUACUUACCCCUGAUCUUCCUCUCGACAUCAUUUCUCAACACAUCACCUCGCAUGACUUCUUGUAAAACAGUCCUUCUGCCAUUUGUCCCAGUUUCACCGUAAUGAUCGGUUGCGAAUAAGGCAUAUUCAGUGAGCGCAUCCUGAUUACCAUCGGUUUGUUGAAGAAUAGACACCCGGAUGGAGUCUGGAAUACCGGGAAUGAGCUUUUCAGCCAGCGCACGAAGAAUAGCUUCGUGGAUAGAGUUAGCAACAAACCACUCAAAAAAAGCAACCCUAUGCAUGAGAACAAUAAAACAAGCACAGCCGUGCAUCCGUCCAGAUAUACUGCCGUACUAUAUCCUCAUAAUGGCUUCAACUAAUCGGAGUCAUGUAUGCAUUGGGGUGGGGAAUUAGAAGCGCCAACUAACUCGACUUCCCGGUCCCAUUCCUCCCCACU
rnacentral:sRNA from 1 species